AGGUGCUGCAUAACCAACCUGGCUUUUACUGCCUUUGCACCACACACUCCUUCUGCAGUCGCAGGUGGCCUUCCGAAUGCUGAAGGGGCACACAAGCACGGUGUAGGUGUGGAGACAAAAAAGCCAAGAGUCUCAAUUUUGUGUGUGCAUCUUAUCUUCAUCCUUAACUAAUUUUCUUUGAGCACCAACGACACAAUAAAAUGGCUGCAGCAGAGGGGGGCCAAGACCCGGAGGCUCCGGUGGAAGAGAUGAACGACGAACAUGAAGCCUUGCUGCACUUUGGUAAAUACUAUGAAGCCCGGCGUGAGCUACCUUGGGAGCAGUGGACAUUCAGAGAAAAGGCAAACUUUUAUGUGGACCGCAUCUUCCUUGGGCUCUUGGUCAUGUUUCUCCUCAUGGUACUGGGAGAAUCUGGCUAUAAAGUAUGGUAUGUGACAAACAUAAAGAAGAUUGCAGAGUUUGUGUCAGAUUCGGUGGCCUUUCUGUUUGACUGGCUCUUCACCCAGGAGAGACAGGAGGAGUUAUUUGAAUUGUAGCUUUGAUAAUACAGGGUGACCACUUGAUUCUAUUAUCACUUUGUUUGUGUUUUCUACAAUGUUUUAGGCACACGUGGUAUUACAAAUUCCCAGUAAAGAAUCCAUUCAUAGCUCCAUCUUAACUAGAGAUACAGCAAUGUAUUAUGGAGUUGCGAACUAUAUUUUUGGUGAAUGGAAAUAAAUAAUGUUUGCAAUUUAUCGAA